GUCCCUUUCGAUUAGUGGUUAGAUCAUCACGUUGUGGUUCAACGAGUUUGGAUAAAACCGUGAAGACGGAGGCUCGAAUCCUCCAUGGGACA
rnacentral:tRNA from 1 species